rnacentral:rRNA from 1 species
GAUGAACGCUGGCGGCGUGCUUAACACAUGCAAGUCGAGCGAGAAAAGUUCUUCGGAGCUUUUCUAGCGGCGGACGGGUGAGUAACACGUGGGCAACCUGCCUCAUAGAGGGGAAUAGCCUUCCGAAAGGAAGAUUAAUACCGCAUAACAUUGUUGAAAGGCAUCUUUUAACAAUCAAAGGAGCAAUCCGCUAUGAGAUGGGCCCGCGGCGCAUUAGCUAGUUGGUGAGGUAACGGCUCACCAAGGCGACGAUGCGUAGCCGACCUGAGAGGGUGAUCGGCCACAUUGGAACUGAGACACGGUCCAGACUCCUACGGGAGGCAGCAGUGGGGAAUAUUGCACAAUGGGGGAAACCCUGAUGCAGCAACGCCGCGUGAGUGAUGAAGGUCUUCGGAUUGUAAAGCUCUGUCUUUAGGGACGAUAAUGACGGUACCCAAGGAGGAAGCCACGGCUAACUACGUGCCAGCAGCCGCAGUAA